rnacentral:rRNA from 1 species
ACGUACACUCCUGCGGGAGGCAGCAGUGGGGAAUUUUACGCAAUGGGGGAAACCCUGACGUAGCGACACCGCGUGAGCGAAGAAGCCCUUUGGGGUGUAAAGCUCUGUCAGCUGGAACGAAAACAAUGACGGUACCAGCAGAGGAAGCAUCGGCUAACUACGUGCCAGCAGCCGCGGUAAGACGUAGGAUGCGAGCGUUGUCCGGAUUUAUUGGGCGUAAAGAGUUCGUAGGUGGUUUGUUAAGUUUGGUGUUAAAGAUCGGGGCUCAACCCUGGGACUGCACUGAAUACUGGCAGACUCGAGUGUGGUAGAGGCUAGUGGAAUUCCCAGUGUAGCGGUGAAAUGCGUAGAUAUUGGGAAGAACACCGGUGGCGUAGGCGACUAGCUGGGCCAUAACUGACGCUGAGGAACGAAAGCCAGGGGAGCGAAUGGGAUUAGAAACCCCGGUAGUCCCAUGA